UGCUCUGCUGGCGCAAUGGUAGCGCGUUGGACUUCUAUUUGGCAUCCAAAGGUUGCAGGUUCGAGCCCUGCGUAGAGCGA